ACUUGGACAUGGGUUAGUCUAUCCUAAGAGAUGGGGAAUCCAUGUAUCAAGGGUGCACUCUGCAUGAACAUCAAAGGAGAAUUGGGUUAAUAUUCCCGAACCGGGACAUGGUGGUGGAUAACAAUGUUAGGAAAUCUGGAGAUGUCAUCGAGGGCCUGGGAAGAGUUAUAUUUUCUUUUUAAUGACUUUCCCACCCUGAAAUAGGUUCAACUGGAGAUAGAUUCCAACAUAUGUAAGAGAACCACACGUAUUCCAGUGUUUGGUGCCCCCUCAGUGGCCAUUGAAAAUAUGGAGAACCGAGUACCAUCCAUGCCUGAUCGUACUCAUAUCUGCCUCC
rnacentral:ncRNA from 1 species